rnacentral:rRNA from 1 species
GCCCUCCUACGGGACGCAGCAGUGAGGAAUAUUGGUCAAUGGACGAGAGUCUGAACCAGCCAAGUAGCGUGAAGGAUGACUGCCCUAUGGGUUGUAAACUUCUUUUAUAUGGGAAUAAAACGUUCCACGUGUGGGAUUUUGUAUGUACCAUAUGAAUAAGGAUCGGCUAACUCCGUGCCAGCAGCCGCGGUAAUACGGAGGAUCCGAGCGUUAUCCGGAUUUAUUGGGUUUAAAGGGAGCGUAGGUGGAUUGCUAAGUCAGUUGUGAAAGUUUG